rnacentral:rRNA from 1 species
AACCUUUAGCCAAACAAGUAUUAAAGGCAACGCCUGCCCAGUGAAUAAUUAAACGGCCGCGGUAUCCUAACCGUGCAAAGGUAGCAUAAUCAUUUGUCUAUUAAUUGUAGACUUGUAUGAAAGGCAAAAUGAGAGCCCAACUGUCUCUUAUAACAAAUCAAUUAAACUGAUCUCCUAGUACAAAAGCUAGGAUUUCACCAUAAGACCAGAAGACCCUGUGAAGCUUUAAUCAACUUAUUAAACCCCAUAAUAAUUAAUUUUGGUUGGGGCGACCUUGGAACAAAAAAGAACUUCCAAAUAAUGACUCCUCAUAUAAAAGGCAAACAAGCCGUAAUUAGACCCAGUAUACCUGACAAAUGAACCAAGUUACUCCAGGGAUAACAGCGCCAUCUUCUUCAAGAGCCCAUAUCAAAAAGAAGGUUUACGACCUCGAUGUUGGAUCAGGACAUCCUAGCUAUGCAACCGUCUCUAAGGGUUCGUUUGUUCAACGAUUAACAGUCCU